rnacentral:rRNA from 1 species
UACAGAGGGUGCGAGCGUUAAUCGGAAUUACUGGGCGUAAAGCGCGCGCAGGCGGCUCUUUAAGUCUACCGGUCAAAGGCUGGGGCUCAACCCCAAGCAAGCCGGGGAUACUGGAGAGCUAGAGACACGUAGAGGCAAGCGGAAUUCCAGGUGUAGCGGUGAAAUGCGUAGAUAUCUGGAGGAACACCGGUGGCGAAGGCGGCAUCCUGGACCGGCAUUGACGCUGAGGAGCGAAAGCCAGGGGAGCAAACGGG